rnacentral:rRNA from 1 species
AUACGUAGGGGGAGAGCGUUGUCCGGAAUGAUUGGGCGUAAAGGGCGCGUAGGCGGAUUUGCAAGUCAGUAGUGGAAGUCCAUUUUUCAAGGAUGGAAGUGCUACAGACACUGCGGAGCUUGAGUGCAGGAGAGGUUCUCGGAAUUCCCGGUGUAGCGGAGAAAUGCGUAGAGAUCGGGAGGAACACCAGUGGCGAAGGCGGGUAGCUGGACUGCAACUGACGCUGAAGCGCGAAAGUGUGGGGAGCAAACAGGAUUAGAUACCCUGGUAGUCCACACUGUAAACGAUGAAUGCUAGGUGUAGUAGGUAUCGACCCCUUCUGUGCCGCAGUAAACACAGUAAGCAGUCCGCCUGGGGAGUACGGUCGCAAGAUUAAAACUCAAAUGAAUUGGCGGGG